AGUGAACGCUGGCGGCGUGCCUAAUACAUGCAAGUCGAACGGACAAGUAAGAGCUUGCUCUUAUGAGUUAGUGGCGCACGGGUGAGUAAUGUAUAGCUAAUCUGCCCUACACUAGAGGACAACAGUUGGAAACGACUGCUAAUACUCUAUACACCUCUCUAGCAUAAGUUAGAUAGGGAAAGUUUUUCGGUGUAGGAUGAGGCUAUAUUGUAUCAGCUAGUUGGUGAGGUAAUGGCUCACCAAGGCUAUGACGCAUAACUGGUCUGAGAGGAUGAUCAGUCACACUGGAACUGAGACACGGUCCAGACUCCUACGGGAGGCAGCAGUAGGGAAUAUUGCUCAAUGGGGGAAACCCUGAAGCAGCAACGCCGCGUGGAGGAUGACACUUUUCGGAGCGUAAACUCCUUUUGUUAGGGAAGAACAAUGACGUACCUAACGAAUAGGCACCGCA
rnacentral:rRNA from 1 species